UCCGGUUUGGCACCGGCAGUCUGACUAGAGUCCCCGACAUUACUCGCUGGCAACUAGUCACAAGGGGGGCACCAUCUCUGAUGCUUUCCGGCGUAUGUCAAGCCUUGGUAAGGUUCUUCGCGUUGCGUCGAAUUAAGCCACAUGCUCCGCUGCUUGUGCGGGCCCCCGUCAAUUCCUUUGAGUUUUAGCCUUGCGGCCGUACUCCCCAGGCGGGGAACUUAAUGCGUUAGCUGCGGCACCGACGACGUGGAAUGUCGCCAACACCUAGUUCCCACCGUUUACGGCGUGGACUAC
rnacentral:misc_RNA from 1 species